AGGGAUGAUAUUUUAUAGGGGGUAAUUCCUGCCCAGUGACAUUGACUUGUUUAACGGCCGCGGUAUCCUAACCGUGCAAAGGUAGCAUAAUCAUUUGCCCAUUAAUUGUGGGCUAGAAUGAAAGGACUAACGAAAUUGUUCCUGUCUCCUUUUAUUAUAUAAAAGUUAAUUUUUAGGUGAAGAGGCCUAAAUAUAAUCGAAAGACAAGAAGACCCUAUAGAGCUUUAUUAAAGAGAGAAGAUUGAAUUCUCGUAUAAUUUGGUUGGGGCAACCUGGGAUCAGAUUCAUCAUCCCUUACUUAAAGAUUUAUUAAUCUAUAUAAUGACCCUUUAUAAAGAUCACUAACAUAAGCUACCUUAGGGAUAACAGGCUAAUCUUAUUUGAAAGUUCUUAUUAAAAAUAGGGAUUGGCACCUCGAUGUUGGCUUAGGAACUCUAGACAGCGCAAAAGUGUAAAAG
rnacentral:rRNA from 1 species